rnacentral:tRNA from 1 species
GCCUUGGUGGUGGAAUUGGUAGACACGCGGGACUUAAAAUCCCGUGGACAUUGCGUUCGUGCGGGUUCAAGUCCCGCCCGAGGUA